UCGAGAAUUUUUCACAAUGGGCGAAAGCAUGAUGGAGCGACGCCGCGUGGGGGAUGAAUGGCUUCGGCCCGUAAACCCCUGUCAUUUGCGAUCAAACCUGCAGAUCUAAUACAUCUGCAUCUGAUAGUAGCGAAAGAGGAAGGGACGGCUAACUCUGUGCCAGCAGCCGCGGUAAUACAGAGGUCCCAAGCGUUGUUCGGUUUCACUGGGCGUAAAGGGUGCGUAGGCGGUGGGGAAAGUUUGGUGUGAAAUCUUCGGGCCCAACCCGGAAACUGCACUAAAAGCUGACGCGCCCGAAGACAUGAGUGCAGACUGGAAUUCUCGGUGUAGCGGUGAGAUGCGUAGAUAUCGAGAGGAACACCCGUGGCGAAGGCGAGUCUCUGGACAGUUUCUGACGCUGAGGCACGAAAGCUAGGGGAGCAAACAG
rnacentral:rRNA from 1 species